rnacentral:rRNA from 1 species
UGGGGAAUUUUGGACAAUGGGCGAAAGCCUGAUCCAGCAAUGCCGCGUGUGUGAAGAAGGCCUUCGGGUUGUAAAGCACUUUUGUCCGGAAAGAAAUCCUUGGCUCUAAUACAGUCGGGGGAUGACGGUACCGGAAGAAUAAGCACCGGCUAACUACGUGCCAGCAGCCGCGGUAAUACGUAGGGUGCAAGCGUUAAUCGGAAUUACUGGGCGUAAAGCGUGCGCAGGCGGUUUGCUAAGACCGAUGUGAAAUCCCCCGGGCUCAACCUGGGAACUGCAUUGGUGACUGGCAGGCUAGAGUAUGGCAGAGGGGGGUAGAAUUCCACGUGUAGCAGUGAAAUGCGUAGAGAUGCGGAGGAAUACCGAUGGCGAAGGCAGCCCCCUGGGCCAAAUACUGACGCUCAUGCACGAAAGCGUGGGGGAGCAAAACAGGAUUAGGAUACCCUGGUAGUCCACGCCCUAAACGAUGUCAACUAGUUGUUGGGGAUUCAUUUCCUUAGUAACGUAGCUAACGCGUGAAGUUGACCGCCUGGGGAGUACGGUCG